ACACAUCCAUUUGAUUGUGUCACCCUCAAAUUCAAAUCCUUUAUCCUUUCCAAAUCAAUCAUCAAUGUGCAUCUACAAAUAAACCCAUUUUGCUUCUGAAAGGGCUUCAAUUUUAUUUUGCAUCUUCUUCCAAUCGCCUUCAAAUCUUUGGUGCUUUCUAUUUUAACAAAUAGUAUGAAGAAUCUUGAAGAAAUUAAGGCUAUAAUGCAAUUGAAGAAUAUGGCCUUAUAAUCAAACGAUCUAUGGCUCGGUGUAUCUUCUACAAGACCCCCAAGUCGAUGGUUCUUUCUACACACCACCGCUUGCUUUCAAAUAGCCAUCUGAGGUACAUUUGUAUUUUCUUCUCUAUAAUCUUUGACCAAGACGAAGAUGCCAAACGAGACCUAUCAGCUCACCUUCUUUGCAACUCGAACCCUAUGUUUAUUUUUUCUAUCUUAUUGUACAAUUUUUAUUUUAAUUUUAUUGAUUAUUCUUAUCAUCUAUUGAAUUUUUUUUGUAGAAUGUAUUGAAAUUCUAGAGUUUUGAUAAAAGGAACAUUGAUAGGGUUAUAGCACGAUUAAUCCCCUCUCACACUCUCUAGCAUCCUACAAAGAAGAAGAAAAACAGAGUAAUUCACUACAAGAAAAUCACUUUUCUAGAUAGAGUCGUCGCUAAAGGUCCCUGUCGCCGGUAAUAGCGUCACCGCUAAAGGGUGAUCACCCGAAUCCGCGUUUUCCCCUUCCGUUACAUCUACACCGUUCGAUCAAAUAUCUAAUCCAACGGUUAGGGUAACCUUAUCCCAACUAACCUAAUACCGGCGAUAUAUGUGUCGCCGCUAAAGCUCGAAAUUGUCGCCGCUAAUGAUGCACUAAAAAAUGACCGGGUACCCUUCCCUCCAGAUUGUCGCCGCUAUUGAUAAUAGUCGUCGGUAAUAAGCUAAAGGCUGACGCAGAUAAAAAAAAAAAAAAAAAAAAAAAAACCGCACGCAGAACUUCAUUCUUCUCAUUUGCUUUCUGUUUGCUGCCUCUUCUCCUUCGCCCCUUACACCUUCUACAAAGUAAUUCACUACAAGAAAAUCACUUUUUAGCGGCGACGUUAUUACCGGCGACAGGUACCUUUAGCGGCGACACUCUCUAGAGUCGCCGCUAAAGGUCCCUGUCGCCGCUAAAGGGUGAUCCCCCGAAUCCGCGUCUUCCCCUUCCGUUACAUCUACACCGUUCAAUCAAAUAUCUAAUCCAACGGUUAGGGUACCCUUAUCCCAACUAACCUAAUACCGGUGACAUAUGUGUCGCCGCUAAAGCUCGAAAUUGUUUCUGCUAAUGAUGCACUAAAAAAUGACCGGGUACCCUUCCCUCCAGAUUGUUGCCGCUAUUGAUAAUACUCGUCGGUAAUAACCCGAGUGUCGCCGCUAAAGGCUGACGCAGAUAAAAAAAACGCACGUAGAACUUCAUUCUUCUCAUUUGCUUUCUGUUUGCUGCCUCUUCUCCUUCGCCCCUUACACCUUCUACCGAGUUCUUCCUCAAAUUUCUUCUUCCAUCUUGAUUUCUCCAUAUCUUGUGUCAUAUUAACUGUAUUAGGGAUUAAGGUGUGACUUGGGACCAAUUUCUAAGUGGAGUUCUUGAAGAAAUUAAGGUAAUUUGAUUUGAAAUUUUCUUUGAUAAUUUCCUUGUUAAUUUGUUUGUUAACACUGAAAAAGUGUUGACUAAAUUUCCAAGUUUUGGUAAUUUAAUAUGUAUGUUAUCCUUGCAAAUAAUGUUAAGGUGAUUUGUGACAUUUUGCAUUUUGGAUGGCUCCCAGGUUUUGGAUAUGUAGUUUCAUCGGGUGAAUAACAGUUUUUCCAGCUAUUACCGGUUGAUUUCUGUCACUAUAGGUUCUAUUAUUUCAUUUAUUUGUGAAUUUGAUAUUUGUAUGUGAAAAUUGCCAAAUGUGAAAAUUGUGUGUAUAUUUGAUAUUUGUAUGUGAAAAUGAUGUGUAUAUUUGAUAUUUGAUGUA